UGAGGAAUCUUGGACAAUGGGGGAAACCCUGAUCCAGCGACGCCGCGUGAGUGAUGAAGCCUUUCGGGGUGUAAAGCUCUUUCAGCGGGGACAAUAAUGAUGGUACCCGCAUAAGCAGCUGCGGCUAACUACGUGCCAGCAGCCGCGGUAAUACGUAGGCAGCAAGCGUUGUUCGGAAUUACUGGGCGUAAAGCGAGUGUAGGCGGUCUGCCAAGUCUGUUGUGAAAUCUCCUGGCUCAACUGGGAGGGUGCGGCGGAAACUGGCAGGCUAGAGUGCGAGAGGGGAGAGUGGAAUUCUUGGUGUAGCGGUGAAAUGCGUAGAUAUCAGGAGGAACACCGGCGGUGAAGACGGCUCUCUGGAUCGCCACUGACGCUGAGACUCGAAAGCGUGGGGAGCAAACAGG
rnacentral:rRNA from 1 species